UACGAAGGGGGCUAGCGUUGCUCGGAAUUACUGGGCGUAAAGGGCGCGUAGGCGGAUGUUUAAGUCAGAGGUGAAAGCCCAGGGCUCAACCCUGGAAUUGCCUUUGAUACUGGACAUCUUGAGUACGGGAGAGGUGAGUGGAAUGCCGAGUGUAGAGGUGAAAUUCGUAGAUAUUCGGCGGAACACCAGUGGCGAAGGCGACUCACUGGCCCGAUACUGACGCUGAGGCGCGAAAGCGUGGGGAGCAAACAGG
rnacentral:rRNA from 1 species